rnacentral:rRNA from 1 species
CUUGGAAGAAUGAAUAACGAAUUAGUCGUAUAAAAUUCUAGAUAGUAAACAGAUAAUGACAAAUAUCUAUCUAUUAGUCUUGACCAAAUUACGUGCCAGCAGUCGCGGCAACACGCAGAAGACAAGUGUUAUUCAUCUUUAUUCGGUUUAAAGGGUACCUAGACGGGAAAUAAAGCCAUAGUAGGGACUAAUUUUCUAGAGUCUUAUGGGAGAAAGUCGAAUACCUGGAGUAGAGAUACAAUAUGCUAAUACUGGGUAGACGGUUAACGGCGUAGGCAACUUUCUAUGUAAAAACUGACGUUGAGGGACGAAGCCCUGGGUAACGAGAAGGAUUAGAUACCCCAGUAGUCCAGGGAGACAAUGAUGAGUGCCAUAGGCUAGAAAUAUUAGUCUAUAAAUGAAAGUGUAAGCAUUCCACCUUAAGACUAAAGCGGCAACGCCCAAAUUGAAAUCAUUAGACCGUUCCUGAAACCAGUAGUGAAGUAUGUUAUUUAAUUCGAUGAUCCGCGAAUAACCUUACCACGUUAUGAAUACUACUGAUGCACGACCCAUUUAAUCUUAAUUAAAUUUAAUAGUAGUACAAGCGCUGCACGGCUGUCUUUAGUUGAUGUCGUGAGAUUUUGGUUAACUCCUCUAAUUAACGAAAACCCUUGUUUUAUAUGUAUAUAUAAAACAGUUCUCCACUAUAUUGGAUAAGAUAAUAGGGAUUAAGACAAGUCAUCAUGGCCUUAAUAACGUGGGCUAUAGACGUGCCACAUAUGCCUUUACAAAGGGAUGCGAUAUUGGAAAUGGAGCU